rnacentral:rRNA from 1 species
UACGGAGGGUGCGAGCGUUGUCCGGAAUCAUUGGGCGUAAAGGGCGCGUAGGUGGCCCGGUCAGUUCGUGGUGAAAGCGCGGGGGCUCAACCCUGCGUCGGCCAUGAAUACUGCCGCGGCUGGAGCACUGUAGAGGCAGGCGGAAUUCCGGGGUGUAGCGGUGGGAAUGCGUAGAGAUCCGGAAGAACACCGGUGGCGAAGGCGGCCUGCUGGGCAGUUUUGCUGACACUGAGGCGCGACAGCGUGGGGAGCAAACAGG